rnacentral:rRNA from 1 species
AACGUAGGAGACAAGCGUUAUCCGGAGUUACUGGGCGUAAAGGGCGUGCAGGCGGUUGCUUAAGUCUGUUGUGAAAGCGCCUGGCUUAACCGGGCGAGGCCAAUGGAGACUGGGUAACUGGAGGACGGCGGAGGGGUGUGGAAUUCCGGGUGUAGUGGUGAAAUGCGUAGAGAUCCGGAGGAACACCAGAGGCGAAGGCGGCACCCUAAGCCGUACCUGACGCUGAGACGCGACAGCACGGGGAGCGAAC